UGUGUGGUUGUUUUGCAUUCAAUACAGUGUUGAUUGUGUCCUUCUCUUUAAUGCAGAUCACCCAGAUGAUUUCGCUGUGAAGAUGUAUCAUGGUGGAUACAUCAGAGACAACAGUUAUAGGCACUGUUCAAAGAAGUUUGAAGUGAGAGAGGUAACUAUGGUGUGGUUGGCCACAAUGAGAGAUCAUGCAUGUCAUAGGCAAUUGCCUCCCAAGCCAAAAGCAACCAAUUUGAACAAGAGAAAAAGGAACAAUGAAGAGGCAAGAACAUCUGGAAAUUAGGGUAUUGGUAAGAAAAAGCCUCCCUUGACAAAGAAUGAGUUAAGGCAAAAGGCAAAGCAAGGGGCAGAAAAACUAAAGAAAAAGAGGGAUGAGAAGAAGGCUGCCAUAGCUAGAGCUGCUCCGACAAAUGCAAGAGAUGCUCAUUCUGCAAAUGCAAGAGUUGCACCUUCCACAAAUGCAUGAGCUGCUGCUUCAAGCUCUCAAGCUGCUCCUUCAAGCUCCAAAGCAACUGCUACAAAAGGUAAAACUCUUGAAUCAUUUUAUGCUGAGAAAUGUGGAAUAGAUUUUCUAGCAGCAGUUAUAAAUCAGUUUAUAACAAUGAAAAUGAAAUCAAUAAGAAGUAAUACAUCAGUUCUAAAAGAAAAAAUCGAUGUCUCAUUAGCCAGUGGAUAUUGAAAUAUUACGACAGAAUCGAUGUCCCAAAAUCCAAUGCACAUUGAAUUAUAAUAUAAUGAUCGAAGUUCUAUAUAUGAUUGGA